rnacentral:rRNA from 1 species
GUCGAGCGGAAACGAGUUAUCUGAACCUUCGGGGAACGAUAACGGCGUCGAGCGGCGGACGGGUGAGUAAUGCCUAGGAAAUUGCCCUGAUGUGGGGGAUAACCAUUGGAAACGAUGGCUAAUACCGCAUGAUGCCUACGGGCCAAAGAGGGGGACCUUCGGGCCUCUCGCGUCAGGAUAUGCCUAGGUGGGAUUAGCUAGUUGGUGAGGUAAGGGCUCACCAAGGCGACGAUCCCUAGCUGGUCUGAGAGGAUGAUCAGCCACACUGGAACUGAGACACGGUCCAGACUCCUACGGGAGGCAGCAGUGGGGAAUAUUGCACAAUGGGCGCAAGCCUGAUGCAGCCAUGCCGCGUGUGUGAAGAAGGCCUUCGGGUUGUAAAGCACUUUCAGUCGUGAGGAAGGUAGUGUAGUUAAUAGCUGCAUUAUUUGACGUUAGCGACAGAAGAAGCACCGGCUAACUCCGUGCCAGCAGCCGCGGUAAUACGGAGGGUGCGAGCGUUAAUCGGAAUUACUGGGCGUAAAGCGCAUGCAGGUGGUUUGUUAAGUCAGAUGUGAAAGCCCGGGGCUCAACCUCGGAAUUGCAUUUGAAACUGGCAGACUAGAGUACUGUAGAGGGGGGUAGAAUUUCAGGUGUAGCGGUGAAAUGCGUAGAGAUCUGAAGGAAUACCGGUGGCGAAGGCGGCCCCCUGGACAGAUACUGACACUCAGAUGCGAAAGCGUGGGGAGCAAACAGGAUUAGAUACCCUGGUAGUCCACGCCGUAAACGAUGUCUACUUGGAGGUUGUGGCCUUGAGCCGUGGCUUUCGGAGCUAACGCGUUAAGUAGACCGCCUGGGGAGUACGGUCGCAAGAUUAAAACUCAAAUGAAUUGACGGGGGCCCGCACAAGCGGUGGAGCAUGUGGUUUAAUUCGAUGCAACGCGAAGAACCUUACCUACUCUUGACAUCCAGAGAACUUUCCAGAGAUGGAUUGGUGCCUUCGGGAACUCUGAGACAGGUGCUGCAUGGCUGUCGUCAGCUCGUGUUGUGAAAUGUUGGGUUAAGUCCCGCAACGAGCGCAACCCUUAUCCUUGUUUGCCAGCGAGUAAUGUCGGGAACUCCAGGGAGACUGCCGGUGAUAAACCGGAGGAAGGUGGGGACGACGUCAAGUCAUCAUGGCCCUUACGAGUAGGGCUACACACGUGCUACAAUGGCGCAUACAGAGGGCGGCCAACUUGCGAAAGUGAGCGAAUCCCAAAAAGUGCGUCGUAGUCCGGAUUGGAGUCUGCAACUCGACUCCAUGAAGUCGGAAUCGCUAGUAAUCGUGGAUCAGAAUGCCACGGUGAAUACGUUCCCGGGCCUUGUACACACCGCCCGUCACACCAUGGGAGUGGGCUGCAAAAGAAGUAGGUAGUUUAACCUUCGGGGGGACGCU